CGCGGAGGGAGCCCCGCCGCCGUGACGGUGAGCCCGGCCCGCGGCCGCCGCCUGGCCGGCGGUCCCGAGCGCCGCCCGGCGCGGAGUCCUCUGGGAAGGAAAAGGAAAGUAGCGCUGGACAAACUUUAAAAUAAUUUCAAAUUUCACUGGCUAGAAAGGGGACAGUGACCCAGGCACUCUAAAGCCUAAAUCAAGCUAACACAAGAAGCCAAUGCUCCAGCCAUAAGCAAGAACAGGUUGGUGGAGGAUUAAGGAACAGUGACAGAUACCUGGACUCUGGAAGAGGUUGAGUAUGUAUGAGUGAGAAGAUGAUCCUUGAAUGCAGAUCUCCAAAACUGAAUGAAAAUAAGUAUUAAGAACACAUGAAGGGGAAAAAAAAAAAACUGAAGGGGGUGGAGAGAGGAAUAGGUCAGGAAGAAGAAAUUGCAGUGUGGUAAAAGAACAGGUGGAGGUGAACAAUGGAGCUAGAGACCUAUGCAAAAAUAAAUGAAAAGAUUGAAGGAAAAACAUUAUUUUAUGUUUCAGAGAACUGAAGGAAGUAAUUAAGAUGAAAUCUGGGAGAAAAUCACAGAGAAUAAACAUGGAAGGCUACAAACUUCGUUGCAGCUCACAGCUUUCCCAGUGUGCUGAAUGACUAACUCAAUCUCAUCCAACUUGUGAAAUACUCAAAAUACCAUUAGUUAAUUUUGUAACCUCCUCUCUGGAAAUGCAGUACACUUUUUAUACCACUAAA